ACGGCUCAGGACUUCAGGGGCACCAGACGAGACAAGGGAACAAUAAACAUGUCAUUCCCAUAAUGCAUCAGCGCCAGGUCUUUACUGUAGGUAGGCUAUUGAUAAUAUAGGCCUAUAGUCUAUAAUGUAGGCAGGCUAUUUAUAAUAUAUAGGCCUAUACUGUAGGCAGGCUAUUUAUAAUAUAUACUGUAGGUAGGCUAUUUAUAAUAUAUAGGUCUAUACUGUAGGCAGGCUAUUUAUAAUAUAUACUGUAGGUAGGCUAUUUAUAAUAUAGGCCUAUAAUAUAUACUGUAGGUAGGCUAUUUAUAAUAUAGGCCUAUAAUAUAUACUAUAGGUAGGCUAUUUAUAAUAUAUAGGUCUAUACUGUAGGCAGGCUAUUUAUAAUAUAUACUGUAGGUAGGCUAUUUAUAAUAUAGGCCUAUAAUAUAUACUGUAGGUAGGCUAUUUAUAAUAUAUAGGUCUAUACUGUAGGCAGGCUAUUUAUAAUAUAUACUGUAGGUAGGCUAUUUAUAAUAUAUACUGUCGGUAGGCUAUUUAUAAUAUAUAGGUCUAUACUGUAGGUAGGCUAUUUAUAAUAUAUAGGCCUAUAAUCUAUAAUGUAGGUAGGCUAUUUAUAAUAUAUAGGUCUAUACUGUAGUUAGGCUAUUUAUAAUAUAUAGGUCUAUACUGUAGGCAGGCUAUUUAUAAUAUAUACUGUAGGUAGGCUAUUUAUAAUAUAUAGGCCUAUAAUCUAUAAUGUAGGUAGGCUAUUUAUAAUAUAUAGGUCUAUACUGUAGUUAGGCUAUUUAUAAUAUAUAGGUCUAUACUGUAGGUAGGCUAUUUAUAAUAUAUAGGUCUAUACUGUAGGUAGGCUAUUUAUAAUAUAGGCCUAUAAUAUAUACUGUAGGUAGGCUAUUUAUAAUAUAGGCCUAUAGUCUAUACUGUAGGUAGGCCAUUUAUAAUAUAUAGGUCUAUACUGUAGGUAGGCUAUUUAUAAUAUAUAGGUCUAUACUGUAGGUAGGCUAUUUAUAAUAUAUAGGUGUAUACUGUAGGUAGGCUAUUUAUAAUAUAUAGGUCUAUACUGUAGGUAGGCUAUUUAUAAUAUAGGCCUAUAGUCUAUACUGUAGGUAGGCCAUUUAUAAUAUAUACUGUAGGUAGGCUAUUUAUAAUAUAUAGGCCUAUACUGUAGGUAGGCUAUUUAUAAUAUAGGCCUAUAAUAUAUACUGUAGUUAGGCUAUUUAUAAUAUAGGCCUAUUGUCUAUAAUGUAGGGAGGCCAUUUAUAAUAUAUACUGUAGGUAGGCUAUUUAUAAUAUAUAGGCCUAUACUGUAGGUAGGCUAUUUAUAAUAUAGGCCUAUAAUAUAUACUGUAGGUAGGCUAUUUAUAAUAUAUAGGCCUAUAGUCUAUAAUCUUUGGAAGGCGCUGAAAGUCAGUAUUGCCCAGCGACAGCCCCGAAACCUGAAGGAUCUGGAGAGGGUCUGUAUGGAGUGGGCCAAAAUCCCUGCUGCAGUGUGUGCAAACCUGGUCAAGAACUACAGGAAACGUAUGAGCUCUGUAAUUGCAAACAAAGGUUUCUGUACCAAAUAUUAAGUUCUGCUUUUCUGAUGUAUCAAAUACUUAGUCGUAUGAAAACGUUUGGACACCCCUCUUGAGGCUGCAUAAUAAUUUACUCUGUCGUCACAGAAAAUUAUCACAGUGGCAUGCCAUUCAUUUUCUAAUAAGAGCUGAGUACUGGGGUAUUGUCCAGACAAAGAUUUUUAGUGUAGCAAUAUUAAGUUGUAGGAAAUUAAAUCAGAUGUGAAAAAUAUGCAAAAAUGUGGGCACCCUUGUCAUUCUGUUGAUUUGAACACCUGUAACUACUUAGCACUGAUUCAUUGGAACACAUAAUUGGUUUGGUGAGCUCAUUAAGCCUUCAACUUCAUAGACAAGUGCAUACAAUCAGUAGUGGCAGAAUCAGAAUCCUUUAGGUAACAUUUAUAAAUAAGAACUAUUAUUUAUUUUCAUAAGCAUGCGUAUGUGGAAAAAGUUACUUGGGCCCAGAGAGGGGAGAGGUCGGGUUAGUCUUAUCUGUGAAUGUCUCUGUAACUAUUCCUAAACCAUGUGAAGGGAUGGUGUGAUUAAUGGGGAACCAGUUAGUUUGGCUCCACAAUGUCUGUGUGCCAGUCACGUCUCUCUGUGAUCUUGUCCAGGAGGGGGUGUAUUUGAUAUAUGCCAUUGGAUGAGGUAAUGUUUUUGGUCCUAACUGGUACCAAGAACGAGAUAAGAACUUAGUUUAGGAGACCAAACUGAACGAUGAUUUAUAGCCAAUGCUGUCUGGCUAUGUGUGUCUUAGCUAUAAAGGAUCUCAGUAGCCAUUAUGUAAGCACUCUCAGAGAAUUCAUUUAUGACACUGAAUUGAUCUGAGAGUCACAGGGCUAUGGUGAAGCUCAUAUAAUUAAAUAUGGCCUUUACGAUAACUCUGACUUGUGUGUGGUUUGCUCUCUCAUGAUUUGGUAAUACAGGACAUUUCCGUGACAAAUCAUGAGAAAAGGUAUUUAAGGCCAAUUGCAAGUUGUUGUUCUCUUUGACUCUCCUCUGAAGAGAGGCAACAUGGGGGCCUCAAAACAACUCAAAUGACCUGAAAACAAAGAUUGUUCAACAUUAUGGUUUAGAGGAAGGAUACAAAAAGCUAUCGCAGAGAUUUAAGCUGUCAGUGUCCACUGUGAGGAAAUGAAAGACCACAGGCACAGUUCUUGUUAAGGCCAGAAGUGGCAGGCCAAGUAAAAUAUCAGAGAGGCAAAGGCGAAGGAUGGUGAGAACGGUCAGAAACAGUCCACAGACCACCUCCAAAGACCUACAACAUCAUCCUGCUGCAGAUGGUGUCACUGUGCAUCGUUCAACAAUUCAGCGCACUUUGCACAAGGAGAAGCUGUAUGGGAGAGUGAUGCGGAAGAAGCCUUUUCUGCACACACGCCACAAACAGUCGCUUGAGGUAUGCAAACGCACAUUUGGACAAUCCAGCUUCAUUUUGGAAUAAGGUGCUGUGGACUGAUGAAACAAAGAUUGAGUUAUUUGGUCAUAAUAAGGGACGUUAUGCAUGGCGGCAAAAGAACACAGUGUUCCAAGAAAAACACUUGCUACCCACAGUAACAUUUGGUGGGGAUUCCAUCAUGCUGUGUGGCUAUGUGGCCAGUGCCGGUACUGGGAAUCUUGUUCAAGUUGAGGGUUGCAUGGAUUCCACUCAGUAUCAGCAGAUUCUUGGGAAUAAUGUUGAAGAAUCAGUCACAAAGUUGAAGUUAUGCCGGGGAUGGAUAUUUCAACAAGACAACGACUCAAAACAUGUUAUCUAUCUCAAAAUCUACCCGGGCAUUUAUGCAGAGGAACAAGUACAAUGUUCUGGAAUGGCCAUCCCAGUCCCCAGACCUGAAUAUCAUUGAGAAUCUGUGGGAUGAUUUGAAGCGGGCUGUCCAUGCUCGGCAACCAUCAAACCUAAUGAACUGGAGAUGUUUUCUAAGGAGGAAUGGUCCAAAAUACCGUCAUUCAGAAUCCAGACACUCAUUAGAGGCUAUGGGAAGCAUCUCGCUGUUAUUUUAGCAAAAGGAGGCUCUACUAAAUAUUGAUGUGAUUUUUCUAUUGGGGUGCCCAAAUUUAUGCACCUGUCUAAUUUUGUUUUGAUGCAUAUUGCACAUUUUCUGUUAAUCCAAUAAACCUCGAUUGACUACUGAAAUAUUACUGUGUCCAUCAGUUAUUUGAUAGAUCAAAAUGAAAUUUCUGAUCCAAACACCCAAUUAUUUAUAAAAUGGAAAUCAUGGAAAUUGUCAGGGGUGCCCAAACUAUUCAUACGACUGUUGGUCAUGCAAUAAAAUGCAAACUUAAAAAUCAUACAAUGUGAUUUUCUGGAUUUUGGUUUUAGAUUCCGUCUCUCGCAGUUGAAGUGUACCUAUGAUAAAAAAUGACAGACCUCUACAUGCUUUGUAAGUAGGAAAACCUGCUAAAUCACCAGUGUAUCAAAUACUUAUUCUCCCCACUGUAAGUGUUUUCAAGUACAACUUUAGUAAGGACUGUUUUGGGAAACAGCUGUGAGAUUUAAUGAUGCUCCUACGAAGGUUCUAACAAUGAACUUAAAAUGCAUUUAGGAAACUGGGCCCCGGACAGUCAGAAAGACUUCUGUUCUUUGACUUAGAAAUGACAUACACCAAAUUAGACAUGGCAAAGACCCAUUUACAUAACAACAUUGUUUCAAUGAAGAAUUCUGAAGCCUCAUUGGGUUUCAAAAUAUGAUGACAAUGAUCAAAACAUGACUUCCCCAAUACAUAUGUCAAGGCACCAGUAUGAU